rnacentral:rRNA from 1 species
AUUGAACGCUGGCGGCAUGCUUUACACAUGCAAGUCGAACGGUAACAGGCCUUCGGGUGCUGACGAGUGGCGAACGGGUGAGUAAUGCAUCGGAACGUGCCCAGAGGUGGGGGAUAACGCAGCGAAAGCUGUGCUAAUACCGCAUGUGAUCUGAGGAUGAAAGCGGGGGACCAGGCAGCAAUGUUUGGCCUCGCGCCUUUGGAGCGGCCGAUGUCAGAUUAGGUAGUUGGUGGGGUAAAGGCCUACCAAGCCGACGAUCUGUAGCUGGUCUGAGAGGACGACCAGCCACACUGGGACUGAGACACGGCCCAGACUCCUACGGGAGGCAGCAGUGGGGAAUUUUGGUCAAUGGGCGCAAGCCUGAUCCAGCAAUGCCGCGUGCGGGAAGAAGGCCUUCGGGUUGUAAACCGCUUUUGUACGGAACGAAAAGGCUCUGGCUAAUACCUGGGGCUGAUGACGGUACCGUAAGAAUAAGCACCGGCUAACUACGUG